GAGUGGCGAACGGGUGAGUAACACGUGGGAAACCUACCUCUUAGCAGGGGAUAACAUUUGGAAACAGAUGCUAAUACCGUAUAACAAUGACAACCGCAUGGUUGUUAUUUAAAAGAUGGUUCUGCUAUCACUAAGAGAUGGUCCCGCGGUGCAUUAGCUAGUUGGUAAGGUAAUGGCUUACCAAGGCGAUGAUGCAUAGCCGAGUUGAGAGACUGAUCGGCCACAAUGGGACUGAGACACGGCCCAUACUCCUACGGGAGGCAGCAGUAGGGAAUCUUCCACAAUGGGCGAAAGCCUGAUGGAGCAACGCCGCGUGUGUGAUGAAGGGUUUCGGCUCGUAAAACACUGUUGUAAGAGAAGAAUGACAUUGAGAGUAACUGUUCAAUGUGUGACGGUAUCUUACCAGAAAGGAACGGCUAAAUACGUGCCAGCAGCCGCGGUAAUACGUAUGUUCCAAGCGUUAUCCGGAUUUAUUGGGCGUAAAGCGAGCGCAGACGGUUAUUUAAGUCUGAAGUGAAAGCCCUCAGCUCAACUGAGGAAUUGCUUUGGAAACUGGAUGACUUGAGUGCAGUAGAGGAAAGUGGAACUCCAUGUGUAGCGGUGAAAUGCGUAGAUAUAUGGAAGAACACCAGUGGCGAAAGCGGCUUUCUGGACUGUAACUGACGUUGAGGCUCGAAAGUGUGGGUAGCAAACAGGAUUAGAUACCCUGGUAGUCCACACCGUAAACGAUGAGUGCUAGGUGUUUGAGGGUCUCCGCCCUUAAGUGCCGCAGCUAACGCAUUAAGCACUCCGCCUGGGGAGUACGACCGCAAGGUUGAAACUCAAAGGAAUUGACGGGGACCCGCACAAGCGGUGGAGCAUGUGGUUUAAUUCGAAGCAACGCGAAGAACCUUACCAGGUCUUGACAUCCCUUGACAACUCCAGAGAUGGAGCGUUCCCUUCGGGGACAAGGUGACAGGUGGUGCAUGGUUGUCGUCAGCUCGUGUCGUGAGAUGUUGGGUUAAGUCCCGCAACGAGCGCAACCCUUAUUACUAGUUGCCAGCAUUCAGUUGGGCACUCUAGUGAGACUGCCGGUGACAAACCGGAGGAAGGUGGGGAUGACGUCAAAUCAUCAUGCCCCUUAUGACCUGGGCUACACACGUGCUACAAUGGCGUAUACAACGAGUUGCCAACCCGCGAGGGUGAGCUAAUCUCUUAAAGUACGUCUCAGUUCGGAUUGUAGGCUGCAACUCGCCUACAUGAAGUCGGAAUCGCUAGUAAUCGCGGAUCAGCACGCCGCGGUGAAUACGUUCCCGGGUCUUGUACACACCGCCCGUCACACCAUGAGAGUUUGUAACACCCAAAGCCGGUGGGGUAACCUU
rnacentral:rRNA from 1 species